rnacentral:rRNA from 1 species
AUGCUAGCUAGAUUUGGUAGGAAUGAGAUGCGUUGGGAAUGGAAGCAUAGCUCAUGGCUGUCAUCGGACGGCUUGCUCACCAGGGUGAUGCACGCCGUCUUAGUCGGCCGCAAGACAAGCACCGCCAUGCCGUACAUCCUGGAGAAGACAAGGUGCCACUUGAAAGCACAUCACAUCAAGUCGUCAAUCUUUGUCAGCUCUUUCAGAUAUUCAGAGAGAGAGAGAGAGAGGAAAAAAAUGCCACUUGAAAGCACGUCACAUCAAGUCUUGACACUCCAUCAGCAGCUCUUCGGAGAAAGAUAG